GACGAACGCUGGCGGCGUGCCUAAUACAUGCAAGUAGAACGCACAGUUUAUACCGUAGCUUGCUACACCAUAGACUGUGAGUUGCGAACGGGUGAGUAACGCGUAGGUAACCUGCCUGGUAGCGGGGGAUAUCUAUUGGAAACGAUAGCUAAUACCGCAUAAUAUUAAUUAUUGCAUGAUAAUUAAUUGAAAGGUGCAAUUGCACCACUACCAGAUGGACCUGCGUUGUAUUAGCUAGUAGGUGAGGUAACGGCUCACCUAGGCGACGAUACAUAGCCGACCUGAGAGGGUGAUCGGCCACACUGGGACUGAGACACGGCCCAGACUCCUACGGGAGGCAGCAGUAGGGAAUCUUCGGCAAUGGACGAAAGUCUGACCGAGCAACGCCGCGUGAGUGAAGAAGGUUUUCGGAUCGUAAAGCUCUGUUGUAAGAGAAGAACGGGUGUGAGAGUGGAAAGUUCACACUGUGACGGUAUCUUACCAGAAAGGGACGGCUAACUACGUG
rnacentral:rRNA from 1 species